rnacentral:lncRNA from 1 species
GGUCAUAAAUUUAAGACAUGUAGUUCUUAGAUUUAAAUUUGAUAGUGGUUGAAAAAAUUUGACAAUAGUUCACAUUCUUAAAAGUCAAGGAAAAUAAAAACAUAACCGCAUUAUGGGUUGAAUUUUCCCCCAAAAUAUAUGUUGAAGUCCUAAUGCCUACACCUAAGAAUACAGCCUUACUUGGAAACAGGGUCUUUGCAGAUAUAAGAUGAGGUCACAAUGGAGAAGGGUGGGCCCUUAAUCAUAUUAGAGAAGACACAGAAACAGAGACAUGGGGAGUAACACCAUGUGAAGACAGAGGUGGAGAUUGGAGGGGUGCAUGUACCAACCAAAGGAAUAUCAAGGGCUGGCAGCAGCACUAGAGCAAGCGAAAGGCAUGAAACAGAUUCUCCCCUAGAGCUGUAAGAGGCAGUGUGGCCCUGGCAACACCUUGCUUUAGGACUUCUAACCUCUAGAAUAAUGAGAUAAUGAGAGUAUAUUUCUGUUGGUUUCGGCCAUGCGGUUUGUGGUAACUGGUUCCAGCAGCCCUAGGAAUCUAAUACACUGCCCAUGUUAUUUUGAGGAUCAAGUGAAACUUAGAAACAAUAACAACAAAAAAAGCAAAGUCUGUGAUCAAGAAGAAUUACUCUGUUGCAACAAUAUAAACUAAGAAAAAAAUACGCAAAAUUCUCUGCUGCCUUGGGAGAUGAUCUCAUGAUGUGUAUCAUUUACUUUUAAUAUUUUUAUUUAUUUAUUUUUGAGACGGAGUCUCGCUCUGUCGCCCAGGCUGGAGUGCAGUGGCGUGAUCUCGGCUCACUGCAACCUUCGCCUCCCGGGCUCAAGUGAUUCUCCUGCUUCAGCCUCCUGAGUAGCUGGGAUUAUAGGCAUGUGCCGCCAUGCCUGCCUAGUUUUUUAUUUUUAGUAGAGAUGGGGUUUCACCAUGUUGGUCAGGCUGCUCUCAAACUCCUGACCUUGUGAUCUGUGCGCCUCAGCCUCCCAAAGUGCUGGGAUUACUGGUGUGACCGACCGUGCCUGGCCAAUGUGUAUGAUUUAAUAGCCAGCAGCAACAGGCCACUAACAUGCCAUCUGCUAACAGGGGCUCUAGCUAUUAACAUCAACAGAGCUAAAAACUCUUAUGUCUGAUCCCUUGCAAAUGGCGAAGACCUGGCUGAGAAUUAUUAUCUCAUGCUUUCAGAGAAAACUUUGCUUGUCCUGCACUGAAAAAUCUGGCUGCAAUAAUCACAUGGAAGAAGGUAUGUUUGUUGGCAUGGUUCAUGGGCUGGCUUAUGACUUCUAAGCAGAAGAUACAAAAUAAUAUAAAAAUCCUGCAACAUGCACAAUGUAGCUGAUAUUCAUGUUCUCUUUAAAUAUCUUAACACUGACUUACAUAUUUAAGGGUGUGGAGUCUUUGAGCUUGGGAAGCAUCUUAUUACUGAGGUACAAAUGCUAAAAGAGGGACAUUUCUUCUAUCUACCGCAUUUUCAAUGAAAAGAUGCUGAAGGUGAAUAAACAGCUCUGCAAACCCAGUUUUGUUUAACUUGGCAACAGCAGUAAGUAAGUAUCACUGGACACAGAGACACUGGAAUAGAUUCAGUCUUUAGUCUUAUUCAUCACGUCUGACCUUGGGCAUAUUACAUGGUUUUCCUGAGCCUAUGAAAUCAUGCGGCUGAACGAGCUGAAAACUAAGAUUCUUUCCUUUGCUAAUAAAUUUCAGCAAACGAUAGGAGUAAGAACGGCUGUCUAACGAGACUACCAAAUGCUACGAGACGCAGCAAGCAAUGUCCCUUUACCUAAUGGAUACAGCUUCUUAACUGUUUAUCCAAAGUCUCCCCAAGCAAAUUCUAAAUUAUUCUAAAUUAUUUGAGUAACAAAGAUUGGGCCCUUAUACCUGUGACGUGUCUGGCAAUGACAAAGAAUGUGGAACAUGGGAAGCAUUUAAUACAUAUUUAUU